rnacentral:rRNA from 1 species
UGAAGCGGGAUGAGCUCAAAUUUAAAAUCUGGCUGGUUUACUAGUCCGAAUUGUAGUUUAAAGAAGCGUUUUCGGUGGCAGCCUGGGUAUAAAUCCUUUGGAACAGGGUAUCAUAGAGGGUGAGAAUCCCGUCUUUGACUCAGUGCAUGCUACUAUGUGAUACGUUUUCAAAGAGUCGAGUUGUUUGGGAAUGCAGCUCAAAAUGGGUGGUAAAUUUCAUCUAAGGCUAAAUAUUGGCGAGAGACCGAUAGCGAACAAGUACCGUGAGGGAAAGAUGAAAAGAACUUUGAAAAGAGAGUUAAACAGUGCGUGAAAUUGUUGAAAGGGAAACGCUUGACACCAGUCAUGCGAGCGGAAAAUCAGUCUUUUGCAGUGGGGAGUUGUGUGGGUUCGGACCGCAAGGCCGGCCUGCGCUGCAUCUCUGCUGUAAGUGAUGCACUUUUUCGUUUGCAGGCCAACAUCAGUUUCUUCUGCUGGACAAAACUCUUGAGAAGGUAGCAGCUUUGGCUGUGUUAUAGCUCUUGAGCGAUACAGUGGAGGGGACUGAGGUUUUCGCAGCGCGUGCUUUCGGGCAAGGCUGAUUGGGUGCUAUGGGAUCGUUCGGUGUACAAUGCAUGCAUUUUGCGCCGUGUCUUUUCUGUACUCGCUCAACUCGGCUCUUCCGCGCUUAGGAUGUUGGCUUAAUGGUUUUAAUCGACCCGUCUUGAAACACGGACCAAGGAGUCUAACAUAUAUGCAAGUGUUUGGGUGGCAAACCCAUGCGCGUAAUGAAAGUGAACGUAGGUGCGAUCCGCAAGGUGCAGCAUCGACCGAUCUUGAUAUUUUUGGAUAGAUUUGAGUAAGAGCAUAUAUGCUGGGACCCGAAAGAUGGUGAACUAUGCCUGAAUAGGGUGAAGCCAGAGGAAACUCUGGUGGAGGCUCGUAGCGAUUCUGACGUGCAAAUCGAUCGUCAAAUUUGGGUAUAGGGGCGAAAGACUAAUCGAACCAUCUGAUUCCCUGCAG